CCUUUUCUAUGGUGCAUGCAACGGGGUGAUGGGACCCACCUGUGGAAGAGUCGCUGCAAGGGUAAACACGCGUUUUGUUUGCGAGGUCAAGACGUUGAGACUGAUACGUGUCAGAAUCCUGGAGGUGAACGGUACUGGUGGCUACACGAGGUAUUUCAGCUGAUAAAAGUUGUAGAGAUCCGCACGGCUUUCCCUUCCAUAUUCGAGACCAAAAUAUCGUCACAUUGUCGCCUCUCCGUAUCGUUUCUGCUUCUUGUCCUCCGGUUCGGACCCUUCCCUCCUUUCUCCGUCUCGCCUUCUCCCAGACAAGAAUCCAUCUCAAAGUUGUUAAGAUCUCGAAGGCGAUCCGGGCAAAACCUAUUGAGUUUGAGAAGUUCAAAAAUGAGUGCACGGACGAACUUGGAGAUGGUUGAUUCCUCAGACUUCACCUUUUGCAAGGUUGGUUUACAAGCGGAAGAUGGGAAUUUAGAGUCUCCCAAAGCAAUUCCUGAUGUCCGGAAAAUCAUUCUCGAAGACACAAAUGAUAAGUCUCAAGGAACUGCAGGUUUGAAAGGGCAAUCUGAUGUAUCUAAAUCUAAUAUUUCAAGUGAAGUGGUUCCAACAAAAGUUGAUGAUAGUAAAAGAAAGACACAAAAGUCAGAUGGAGAAGCGGACGAUUUGGCACAGAAACAGAAGGCAAAGGUGAAGAAGCCUGUAGGGAGAACAAAGGUUCCUUUUGAAAAGGGGUACAGCCAAAUGGACUGGUUAAAGCUUACUCGCACGCAUCCUGACCUUGCAGGACUAAAGGGGCAAUCAAACCAAAGGCUUAUCUCGAUGGAUGAAGUUAAGCAACAUAAAACUGGUGGUUCAAUUUGGACUGUUCUAAAAGGCCAUGUUUACAAUAUCUCCCCCUACAUGAAAUUUCAUCCCGGAGGUGAGGAUAUGCUUAUGAAGGCAGCUGGUAGAGAUUCGACCUCUUUAUUCAACAAAUAUCAUGCAUGGGUGAAUGCUGAAUUUUUAUUGGAGAGGUGCCUUGUGGGAAUAUUGGAAUAUAAUUGAUGAUGAACUCCAGAAUUUUUCUAAACAAGUAUUAUUAUAUUUGCACCCCGGGGUUGUGAUCUGUUCCAGGAUCCGACCGGUUGGAGGUGCAAAAAGCAUCAUCCAGUAACAUUCUUUUAAAUGACAUCUAAAGGUGCAGGGAAAGAUUCCAGCAGCUGAGCAUCCAUCAAGCCCUAUGCGCCGCAAUGCAGGUACCAUCUCACACUGUUUUGCUGCUUAUUGUAACCUCUCUCACACUGCUGCAACAGAUGAUUCCAAAGCAUAAUCUCUGUGUAACCUCUCUAUUGUAGCCUCUCUCACACUGCUGCAACAAAUGCAGGUAACCUCUCACGCCAUUUUGCUGCUUAUUGUAACCUCUCUCACACUGCUGCAACAGAUGAUUCCAAAGUAUAAUCUCUGUUUUGUUUUCUGUCGGUGCUUUAAUAAGCAUGAAGGAUAAACUGAUGACAGCAAGCAAUCAUGCAUGCAUCUAGUGGACUUGCUUCCACAUUUUUCCAAAUGAUGAGGCAAUGAAUCAGCCGGCCACAUGCAUGCAUAUAGAGUGAGAAGAACAAGAGAGAGAGAGUUCAUCAGACAUAACAGAGGCAGUUGCAUCUCGUUUCACCUCAUUCUACAUGCACGUCUUUACAUAACCAUAAGCAUAUCUAUUAUGUAGAUAUAUAGAGACGGAGGUUUGCAUGUCUACUAUUUCCUCAGGCAUUCACGGACGACUUUAGGACAAGUUCUAAGGCCCCUGAAAGUCCAGUGUACACUGUCAGGUAUGGCUCAAAGGUUGCACUUUUGCAUACCCAAAAGAGAACGCACCUCAUGACAAUCCAAUGCUGCUUGAUGUGCGUUAUCGCCGGAAAUCUUCUGCAGCCCGGCGGAUUAUGGUACGGUGAAGUCCAGGCUUCGAUCAUGUUCAACGGCGUCAAUGCUAUGGUGAAGUAGAGCCGGUGACUCCUGUCGUUCCUUGUUUUGAGCCAGAGACCAUUGCAACAACAGUCCCAACUCUCGUUCUUACUACUAUUCGAUUCACUAAUUGUAUGCAGUAGUUUUCUCUAGUUUUAUAUGCAUUUGUACUGUAUCUGAUAGAGGGGAGAACUCUUGUUCUUCUAUUUGAUUUAAAUAGAUCUAUGUUUAGUUUGGAAAGAAAAAAGUUAAUCUUUUUCUCA